rnacentral:rRNA from 1 species
AUUGAACGCUGGCGGCAGGCCUAACACAUGCAAGUCGAGCGGAUGAUGGGAGCUUGCUCCUGGAUCCAGCGGCGGACGGGUGAGUAAUGCCUAGGAAUCUGCCUGGUAGUGGGGGACAACGUUUCGGAAGGAACGCUAAUACCGCAUACGUCCUACGGGAGAAAGCAGGGGACCUUCGGGCCUUGCGCUAUCAGAUGAGCCUAGGUCGGAUUAGCUUGUUGGUGAGGUAAUGGCUCACCAAGGCGACGAGCCGUAACUGGUCUGAGAGGAUGAUCAGUCACACUGUGACUGGGACACGGUCCAGACUCCUACGGGAGGCAGCAGUGGGGAAUAUUGGACAAUGGGCGAAAGCCUGAUCCAGCCAUGCCGCGUGUGUGAAGAAGGUCUUCGGAUUGUAAAGCACUUUAGGUUGGGAGGAAGGGUUGUAGAUUAAUACUCUGCAAUUUUGACGUUACCGACAGAAUAAGCACCGGCUAACUCUGUGCCAGCCGCCGCAGUAACAC